rnacentral:rRNA from 1 species
UACGUAGGGGGCAAGCGUUGUCCGGAUUUAUUGGGCGUAAAGCGCACGUAGGCGGCUUACUAAGUCAGGGGUGAAAUCCUGGAGCUCAACUCCAGAACUGCCUUUGAUACUGGUGAGCUUGAGUCCGGAAGAGGUGAGUGGAACUGCGAGUGUAGAGGUGAAAUUCGUAGAUAUUCGCAAGAACACCAGUGGCGAAGGCGGCUCACUGGUCCGGUACUGACGCUGAGGUGCGAAAGCGUGGGGAGCAAACAGG